GAUGAACGCUGGCGGCGUGCCUAAUACAUGCAAGUCGAGCGAAUGGAUUAAGAGCUUGCUCUUAUGAAGUUAGCGGCGGACGGGUGAGUAACACGUGGGUAACCUGCCCAUAAGACUGGGAUAACUCCGGGAAACCGGGGCUAAUACCGGAUAACAUUUUGAACCGCAUGGUUCGAAAUUGAAAGGCGGCUUCGGCUGUCACUUAUGGAUGGACCCGCGUCGCCUUAGCUAGUUGGUGAGGUAACGGCUCACCAAGGCAACGAUGCGUAGCCGACCUGAGAGGGUGAUCGGCCACACUGGGACUUGAACACGGCCCAGACUCCUACGGGAGGCAGCAGUAGGGAAUCUUCCGCAAUGGACGAAAGUCUGACGGAGCAACGCCGCGUGAGUGAUGAAGGCUUUCGGGUCGUAAAACUCUGUUGUUAGGGAAGAACAAGUGCUAGUUGAAUAAGCUGGCACCUUGACGGUACCUAACCAGAAAGCCACGGCUAACUACGUGCCAGCAGCCGCAGUAA
rnacentral:rRNA from 1 species